rnacentral:lncRNA from 1 species
UUGAAUUUUAACAUUGUUAUUUCAUUGUUUUGCUAUUUGGUUUUAUGAGCUAAAUAUGUUAAUCAAUCUUUUUAUUCUUGUUUGUAGAGAUGCAAAAUGAUAUUCUCAAUUACAUUUAUUUCAGCUUGAUAGUUUAAAAAAGGUUGGUGGCGGAAAGCCAAGAGAACAUGUUUUUUUGAUCAUGAAAAGGUUAUUUUCAAAUCAGUUACAGUCCAAAUUAAAUCGAAAAGGAAAUGGAGAAAAGAUAAGCUUAGAAAAUCUAGUAAAUAUAUGGAGUGUUUUACGAGAUAUCGGCGACGUGGAAGAAGAUGUUGACGGCAAUGCAGAAAUAUAGUUUCUUAUGUAUAUUUUUGUGAAAUAAAAAUUAAGUAAUGUUAGUUAAAA